GUAAAUACUAUCUCUUAGGUGCCUUACAAUAAAAUCAAACGGUCUCUCAUCUGCUUAAACACAAAAACGAAGCACCUGAAUCUGUGGGGCAGAGUUUAAGCUACUGAACUGUUGAAUAUGGUAUUUUAUUUACAGAGGACUUACAAAAGAGUAUUGUAUUUCACAGUUGUUUACGCAAAUGGAGAUCUACUGACCUGGGCUGCACAAGGCUCUGAACCCUUUUCCUGUUCCCAGCUUUUUCUAAGGAACCCCUACCCCUGUGGGCUUUAACUAGCUCAGCAUUUUAAUCUCUGCAGUGGAAGCACACUAGUGCCACACCACUACUAAGCAGCAAUACUGGCCCUUCAACUAAGUCUUUCUGAUGACAU
rnacentral:lncRNA from 1 species